GGCGGAUGUAGCCAAGUGGA
rnacentral:ncRNA from 102 species